rnacentral:lncRNA from 1 species
CUCAGUACCGUUUAAAAGAAAGGGAAGUAGUGAAAAGUGUUCAUGUGUGUAACAUUUCUCUCAUUUGUUGGGACUCUGACACCAGGGACAUGACGAUGUUAUACAGAGCCACCCAAUGAUAAACUCAAACCACUUGUUACAUCAAUAGUCUGAGCCUUGGCAAGUCUUGAAAGCACUGGGCUUUAGUCAUUCAUUGGUUGUCUGCGACUCUCCACCACACCAUCAUCUGUCACGGAGUCAUCAUCAUCGAGUGCCAAGAUGCAGACAAACCUCAUCAAACCUCAUCGGUGCCGCAGGUCCCAGCAGACGCGGGUCAUUUUCUGAGCAGACACGGUGCGCUAUUCCAGGUCAGGGUACAGUAUGCUAAUGAGCCCUGGCCACGGGCCAAUCACAAUUCACAUGCGCUCGGGGGCCCAGGAGGAGCAGCCUGGCCCCUCUGGCUGCCACCAGGCGGUGGACAUUCUGGGCAUUGGGUGCUGAGUCUCUCCUCCCUGUUGCUAAGAGGACGCUUGGACUGAAGUGGACGGUGAGAAGAAUGUCAAGAUAAGUGGAGAUGUCUUCCUUCAUGUAUUUUGGUUGUACCCAAAGCAGACCGAUUGGCAGUAGAUCCUAAUCCCCAACCCUGCACACAGCAUGUGUUCGAAGGGGAGAAGUCAGGCAGGGUGGGACACGACUGGGAUCCUAGCUCCUCAAGAGGCUGAAGCAAGAGGAUUGCAAGUUCCAGCCCAGCCUGGGCGACUUAGUGAGACUCUGUCCAAAAUAAAAAUAAGAAAAGGCUGAAGAUGCAGCUCAGUGUCCCCAGGGUUUGAUCCUCAGUACCCCACACACGCAGAGAAACAGCAGACAGACAUGCAGAGGUGGAAAGUGACUGUGGCGGUACACAUCAUCGGAAUAGAUCUUAGAUAGCCACCAUCUAAACCAGAAACACCACAACGCUAACCUCCCUGAACAAUAAGACCUACUAAUUCCGAGAGUUUUAUUCACCCAACUAAUAUUAUCCCUCCUUCCCAAGAUAUCUGCAGUGCAGUUCUUCCUUCUAGACAUAUCUUUCUUAGGUUCCUCUGCUAUGUUCUACUUAGCCUGUUAGGCUCUGGGAGGAUUAAGAAGUUCAGCCCAAAUCAGCUCUGAUGGUACACACACACCUGUUAUCCCAGCAUUCCAGAGACUGAGGCAGGAGGUUUGUAAGUUACAGGCUAGCUUGGGCUACAUAGAGAGUUUAAGGCCAGCCUUGAUCAUACAGCAAGACCCUGUCUUUUUGUUUUGC